AAUUGGAGCAACAGUUGCAAGAACUUCAAGAUCAAUUUGACAAUGAACAUGAACAACAGAAACAACGUGAGAAAGAAUUUGAGACAAAAAUUCGAGAUCAAGUUUUGAAAGAGAUGCAAGAUAUUUUGAAACAGAAUCCUUUGAAUUUCUCAAAUUACACUGCACCAGUGUUAGAUGAUACUUUACUAGAGGAGGAAUAAUUUCAUCUACAUCACAAAUGGCUGUACGGAGCUACAUUAUAUUGUUUAAUUUUUCAUUAGCAUUCUAGUUGGACAAUUUUUUGCUUUUUUUUGUUAUGUUACAGCAAAUAUUAUAUCAACAGUGGUUAGAUAGUUUAUCUAAUCUUUUAAGUUUAUCAAAGCUAUAAUUAUUUAUAUUAAAUUUA